UUUCCAGCAUUUCGACUGGGUAUGGUGUCUCGCAGGGAUUGAGCGAUCGAUCGACGACGGUGCAAUCGAUACGAUUGCGGGGCGAUGCUGCUCCAGUCCGGAGGCGCCAUUCCCAGGCGGCUGUCGUCCGGCUUCUGCGAUGAUGAUUCUAAUCGGCAGCGAUCUCGUCGCUGCCUCUGUGUUAGAGCGGUAGCUACCUCGGAUCCUCCGGCUUCCGAGGCGAAAUCUUCUCGUAGGAAUGUCAAUGGGAGCGCAAGGAUUAAUGGCAGUGCUGGCCGAAGCAUGCGAGUGGGAGAUAUGGCGGAGGAAGUGAAGAAGAUGAGAGCUCAGCUCGAAGAAGACGAGCAAGUCGCUUCAUUCAUGCGUGGGCUUCGAGGACAGAAUCUCUCGGACGAGCUCUUCGCGUCAUCGACCGUAAAGCUUCGCCUUGUCGAGGUUGACAGAGAAGGAGACAAGGAAGCACUGCCCCUGGUUUAUAGCCCCCAAGCGAUAUCUGCGUACUGGGGAAAGCGCCCUGCCGCUGUUUUCACUCGCAUUUUCCAGUUGCUUGGUGUUGCUGGCGGAUUUCUUUCUCACCUCGCUGGAGACAUCGUUUCGAAGAAGCUGAAAGAGAAUGAAGUCGCGCGAGCUAUCGAGCUGAGGGAAAUUGUAACAUCGCUUGGACCUGCCUAUAUCAAGCUUGGACAAGCUCUCAGCAUUCGUCCUGAUAUAUUGUCUCCUGCCGCCAUGACUGAGCUACAGAAGCUUUGUGACAAAGUGCCGUCAUUUCCGAACGAUAUUGCAAUGGAUCUUAUUGAGAAAGAAUUGGGCCAGCCAUGGACCGAACUGUAUUCGGAGCUUUCUCCAUCUCCUAUUGCUGCCGCAUCUCUGGGGCAAGUUUAUAAGGGUCGGCUUAAGGAGACGGGAGAACCUGUGGCUGUAAAAGUUCAAAGGCCUUACGUACUUGAGACUGUAACUAUUGACUUGUACAUCAUCAGAAAACUUGGGCUCGCUCUUCGAAAAUUUCCACAGAUAGCUACAGAUGUUGUUGGUCUUGUGGAUGAAUGGGCUGCACGGUUUUUCGAAGAGCUUGAUUAUGUCAAUGAAGGUCGGAAUGGAACUAGGUUUGCAGAAAUGAUGCGGCAAGACCUUCCUCAGGUAGUUGUCCCAAAAACUUACGCCAAGUAUACAUCAAGAAGAGUAUUAACAACCGGAUGGAUUGAUGGAGAGAAACUUUCUCAAAGUACAGCUGAUGAUGUCGGAGAACUUGUAAAUGUAGGUGUAAUUUGCUAUCUAAAACAGUUGCUAGAUACAGGUUUAUUCCACGCUGACCCACAUCCUGGGAAUCUAAUACGCACUCUUGAUGGGAAGUUGGCCAUACUUGAUUUUGGUCUGAUGACACAAAUAACAGAUGACCAAAAAUACGGAAUGAUUGAAGCGAUAUCGCAUCUUAUUCAUCGUGACUACGAGGCUAUUGUCAAGGAUUUUGUGAAGCUAGAUUUCAUUCCCGAAGGAGUGAAUCUAAAUCCGAUUAUGCCUGUUUUGGCGAAAGUGUUUGAUCAAGCUCUAGAAGGCGGUGGUGCCAAGAACAUCAACUUUCAGGAACUUGCCUCCGAUCUGGCUCAAAUCACAUUUGAUUAUCCUUUCCGGAUUCCUCCAUAUUUUGCUCUUAUAAUUCGAGCUAUUGGAGUUCUGGAAGGCAUUGCAUUAGUAGGCAACCCGGACUUCGCAAUAGUAGACGAAGCGUAUCCUUACAUCGCACAGAGGCUUCUUACAGAUGAUUCUCCAAGAUUAAGAGAAGCUCUUCGGUAUACCCUCUACGGGAAAACCGGUGUUUUCGACGUGGACAGAUUCAUCGAUGUUAUGGAAGCGUUUGAGUCAUUUACUGUGGCUGCUAAAAGUGGAGGCGGUGAAGCACUCGGUGGGGAUAUGGCAUCCCUUGGUUCGUUACCGAGUACUUCAAGAGACAUUAUCUUGCGAACGACUAGUAAGGAUCUUCCGUCCGGACAAAUGCACGCUAGGGUGGCGCUGGGAUUUAUGGUCUCCGAGCGUGGAGAAUUCUUUCGCGAAUUUAUACUAGACGAGGUUGUGAAAGGACUGGAUGCACUGUCUAGGGAGCAAGUUGCUCGUGCGUUGCCAUUACUGGGCCUGAACAGAAUCGAUACCAUUUUAAGGUCUAUGCCUGUCGUUGGCGUUUUUGCCAGUGCUUUGCCUUUCAUGCCUCAUCGGCUACUCCCCACCAUUACAGCCAUCACAGAAGAAGACGAGCUUGUAUUGAACAACGUAUAUAAAAUCAUCUCCUUUUUUGUAGAAGGAACUCCAUCGUUCAGAACAAUCGAUCGGGAAAAUGGAUUGGAAGUGCUCAGAUUACUAAGAGAACUCCAACCCAUUCUUCCAAACAUUUCAUCGAAGCUGGUUCCAGAGAUAGUGAGCCGUUUCGCAUCGCGUGUUGUUGCCAGAGUCCUGCGGGAAGUUUUCUUGUGAAGCACGUCAAAUAGUUUGGAUGACUGGCGAAAGACAAAGUCACGGCAAAGAUGCACAGAGCAUGCCAGAGCGAUGCAAUGAAGAAUCUCGCUCUAUGUUAAUUGUACGCAAUCUCAGGCCAGUUCUAGCAAUCUGCUUUAUACUUUUUUAAUUUUUCCUUCUUUGAUUGUAGCAGUGGGAACCCCUGGAAAAGGGCUUCACAGGCCUGACGUGUUAUAUUUCGACUGUCACAGGGCCCUGUACAAAUAAAUGUAGCUGCCAAAACUUUGGUCUUAUGGGGAGCGAAAUGUGGAUAACUACUUGAAAACUGUAACUGCAAAUGGGUUCUCUGGGAAACUUGCAGCUCUGGAAACUCAAAAUUAAACUUGCAUCAAUAAGAUUAGAGCAAUACCUCGAGUAAGUAUUGCGACUGC